rnacentral:rRNA from 1 species
AAUAGAUACCCUGGUAGUCCACGCCGUAAACGAUGAGUGCUAAGUGUUAGAGGGUUUCCGCCCUUUAGUGCUGCAGCUAACGCAUUAAGCACUCCGCCUGGGGAGUACGGUCGCAAGACUGAAACUCAAAGGAAUUGACGGGGGCCCGCACAAGCGGUGGAGCAUGUGGUUUAAUUCGAAGCAACGCGAAGAACCUUACCAGGUCUUGACAUCCUCUGACAACUCUAGAGAUAGAGCGUUCCCCUUCGGGGGACAGAGUGACAGGUGGUGCAUGGUUGUCGUCAGCUCGUGUCGUGAGAUGUUGGGUUAAGUCCCGCAACGAGCGCAACCCUUGAUCUUAGUUGCCAGCAUUCAGUUGGGCACUCUAAGGUGACUGCCGGUGACAAACCGGAGGAAGGUGGGGAUGACGUCAAAUCAUCAUGCCCCUUAUGACCUGGGCUACACACGUGCUACAAUGGAUGGUACAAAGGGCUGCAAGACCGCGAGGUCAAGCCAAUCCCAUAAAACCAUUCUCAAUUCGGAUUGU